AACAGUUUGUCAACUCGGAAACUGUCAUAUCGCAAAUAAGGUGUUGAAAAUGGAGAGAGUCGGGUGGCACACGGGUCUCUCAAACAGUGUGCUCACGCACGCUUAAAGAUAGAUCAAAAGCGAAGA
ensembl:ncRNA C34H3.13 ncRNA